rnacentral:rRNA from 1 species
GUGGGGAAUAUUGCGCAAUGGGGGAAACCCUGACGCAGCAACGCCGCGUGAGUGAUGAAGGCCCUCGGGUCGUAAAGCUCUGUCAGGUGGGAAGAAGAAGGAAAUCUCCAAUACAGGUUCCCUUUGACGGUACCACCAGAGGAAGCACCGGCUAACUCCGUGCCAGCAGCCGCGGUAAUACGGAGGGUGCAAGCGUUGUUCGGAAUCACUGGGCGUAAAGCGCGUGCAGGCGGCCUAUUAAGUCAGGUGUGAAAUCCCUCGGCUCAACCAAGGAAUUGCAUCUGAAACUGGUAGGCUUGAGUACGGGAGAGGAGAGUGGAAUUCCCGGUGUAGAGGUGAAAUUCGUAGAUAUCGGGAAGAACACCGGUGGCGAAGGCGGCUCUCUGGACCGAUACUGACGCUCAGACGCGAAAGCGUGGGGAGCAAACAGGAUUAGAUACCCCUGUAGUCC